UCGGGAAUAUUGCGCAAUGGAGGAAACUCUGACGCAGUGACGCCGCGUAUAGGAAGAAGGUUUUCGGAUUGUAAACUAUUGUCGUUAGGGAAGAAAAAGGACAGUACCUAAGGAGGAAGCUCCGGCUAACUACGUGCCAGCAGCCGCGGUAAUACGUAGGGAGCGAGCGUUAUCCGGAUUUAUUGGGUGUAAAGGGUGCGUAGACGGGCUAACAAGUUAGUUGUGAAAUCCCUCGGCUUAACUGAGGAACUGCAACUAAAACUGUAAGUCUUGAGUGCAGGAGAGGUAAGUGGAAUUCCUAGUGUAGCGGUGAAAUGCGUAGAUAUUAGGAGGAACACCAGUGGCGAAGGCGACUUACUGGACUGUAACUGACGUUGAGGCACGAAAGUGUGGGGAGCAAACA
rnacentral:rRNA from 1 species